rnacentral:lncRNA from 1 species
AUAGACCAAACCCUAAUACUCCUUGUACUCUUAUUUAUAUACCUUGGUUUAUACUAUAAGUCAUUGACAAUGGGACUAAUCCACAAUUUUCCCCUCACGGUCUAAAUAUAAAGUGGUUAAAUUUUUACUUCUUUAAACAUUGAUCAGGACAUACCACACAGAGCUCAACAUAGACUUGAAAACAAAACAUAACAGCACGUCUAACAAUAUAUAUUAUAUGGUACAUGCGUGAAUAAUAGACUAACAACAAGCAUUGAAGCAGCUCAUAACAAUACAUAUAUAUACUGAUAAAAUAGAAACACAAUCAACAAAACAUUUUACAUAUACAUAUGAACCCAACCAAUAAUUCCAAGUACCCUACCCCUCUUUCUUUUUAUUAUAAAGUUGAUUCUUUUGGUUCAUUUUAAGUGAUAAAGGUUCCACUAUCAUCUCACAACAUAAACUUAUGUAGCAUGA